GACGAACGCUGGCGGCGUGCUUAACACAUGCAAGUCGAACGGUGAACUCCGCUUGCGGGGGGAUCAGUGGCGAACGGGUGAGUAACACGUGGGCAACCUGCCCUCAGCUCUGGGAUAACUCCAAGAAAUUGGGGCUAAUACCGGAUAUGACCGCUGACCGCAUGGUCUGGUGGUGGAAAGAUUUAUCGGCUGGGGAUGGGCGCGCGGCCUAUCAGCUUGUUGGUGGGGCAGUGGCCUACCAAGGCGACGACGGGUAGCCGGCCUGGGAGGGGGACCGGCCACACUGGGACUGAGACACGGCCCAGACUCCUACGGGAGGCAGCAGUGGGGAAUAUUGCGCAAUGGGCGAAAGCCUGACGCAGCGGCGCCGCGUGGGGAAUGACGGCCUUCGGGUUGUAAACCUCUUUCAGCAGGGACGAAGCGAAAGUGACGGUACCUGCAGAAGAAGCACCGGCCAACUACGUG
rnacentral:rRNA from 1 species